AUGGCUGACUCGGUGCUUGCCUCAGGUGGUCAGAGGUUCAGACUGUGAUUCAACAGUUCCCAUACAGCGGUCUUGGACAUGUUUUCCAGCCUUGAUGGUUCUAUGGCAUGCACCUGUUGGGUAGCCUUCUCAUCUUCAGACUGAGACAUGCUUGGCUGUAGGACUCAAAGGAUAGAGUGGCUCUCUGAGGGAGGCCUGAUGUCAUCUCAGUGCGGCAGCUAAAAAGAAGCCAAGUCCACCUUUGCUUACUUCCUUGGGAAUCCAUGCAGAAGGGAUACCACAUCUCCCCAAGGGGCACGGAUAGGAGAUGGCCAUCCUCCAGGCAAGCCUGCAAGAUGUUGCAUGAAGGCCACAUGUGCUCUUCCUCCUCCACUUCUUCUUUGUGGAAUUCCUCCACCUCUUUAAUUCUGAGAAUGUAUUAUCUCAUUUCCCAUGUAGAGAUGGACAACAGUCGUUCCAGGUCCUCUUUCUUCCAACUAUGGCUGGCAAUUGUCAGAGGCCUGGAAGCUUUGCAAAUGGUAGUCUGGACACAGGGGGUUUUUAUAGGCCCAGACCAAAGAGUGGAGCAGUGUUGGUCACUGUGACAUUAGGAAGCCACUGUGAUGGCCACUGUGAUGGUCAGAAUGGUGUUGGGUGGCCUGACAGAUGCCCUUUGUGUGAGGAGGAAGAUGGUUGGAGGGGCUGAGGGCCCUCUUCCCAGCAUGGCUCCUCCGUGCCAUUUGGCUUGCCAGAGAAAGAGGCUGCCCACCCUGCACAGGGACAGCCCUCCACCUCUCCUCCUGUGCUCUGUCCUUCAUCCCCACAUUUGGAGUCUGUGUGCCACAAGAUGGUAGCAACAGUGUUUCUGGAGUGUAAGAGAUUUGCCCUUACCCUUCUGCCACUGACCUGGCUCCCUGCAAGUGGUGCAGCUACAUACCACACCUCUAGGCCCAGAGAACCCUAGCGGCCCUUCAGUUGACUGCCAUGUCCAUGUCCAGGCUGUGAAGAUGAAGUUAAUCUUUGGAUUAAACAAAACCUGCACUGAUUCCAGGAUCUUUCUCUAUAAGCCACCUUAGCAUGGACUAGAGUUGUACCUUCCCUCCUCUCUGAAAGAUAUAGACAGUUCUGAGUGCUUGCAUAGGAAGUGUCCACACAUUCUUCAGAAAGGGAAACCAUCUAGUCCCAUUUCUAGCAAGGAUUAAAUCACAACAUCUCAUGAAAUCACAAAAGAUAUCCAAGAGGAAAUAUGUCUUCUGUCUUUCCUGCUUUUGUACUCUUUUGCAAAAUCAAAGCUCUCUGUGAAAGACAGGCUACCAGGAACCUCAAGGGGCACCUCCAGAGAAAACACAAUCCUCACUUUCUAAUGCUUUCUAUUUUUUGGUAAAGUUUGUGAUGUGUGAUUUUUCCCUAAAGCCUGAGUUCUCUGAGUCAUACAGUUCGCUGAGAAUUGUUUUCUCAAAUGUUAAUUUCUAGAAAAAAAAAGCCCAAAGACAUGACUAGAAUUCUAAUUUUAUAAUGAGAAGCAAAAAGAAAAAGGGUCGAAGGUAUU
rnacentral:lncRNA from 1 species